rnacentral:rRNA from 1 species
GAUGAACGCUGGCUACAGGCUUAACACAUGCAAGUCGAGGGGAAACGACGGGGAAUCUUGCUUCCCCGGGCUUCGACCGGCGCACGGGUGAGUAACGCGUAUCCAACCUGCCUCUGACUUAUGGAUAACCCGUCGAAAUUCUGCCUAAUACCUCAUGGCAUCGUCUUCGGGCAUCCAACGACGAUUAAAGAUUUCAUCGUUCUGGGAUGGGGAUCCGUCUGAUUAGCUUGUUGGCGGGGUAACGGCCCACCAAGGCUACGAUCAGUAGGGGUUAUGAGAGGAAGGAAAACCAGAAUGGAACUGAGAAAAGGACCAAAAGACGACGGGAGGGAGCAGAGAGGAAUAUAGGGAAAGGGGAGGGAGCAUGAAACAGCCAAGUAGGGGGAAGGAAGACGGGGAUAUGGGUUGUAAACUGCUUGUAAGAGGGGAAAAAGUGAGGGACGGGUCAUUCAUUGAAGGUACCGAAUGAAUAAGGAACGGCUAAUUCCGUG